UCCUGACCUGCACACCUGCAGCCAAUUCCCGCCACAGCGGCACAGUUUAUCUGCAUAUUCUGCUCUUAUCACCUCGGUUUGGCUGCGUACAACAUUUCUGGACCAGAAACAUGCCUGAGGGUCCGAUGUGAAACCCAGUUAAUGAGACACUUACUUCACUACAGGCCUUCGUCUGGCUGCUGUUGCAGUUUUAAUAAGCCGUCAGUUUACGGUCUGCUUGUGGGGUCAGGAGACAGCUUGAGCCUCCUGAUCAGCCCCUCAUCAUGGACAUCAGCCUGGCUGCUCCUGCUUCCCAGAGGAGGAGGUGAGCAGAUGCCUCUGAAUCAAUUUGGGCA